rnacentral:rRNA from 1 species
GUGCCAGCCGCCGCGGUAAUACGUAGGGUGCAGGCGUUAAUCGGAAUUACUGGGCGUAAAGCGUGCGCAGGCGGCUUCCUAAGUCAGAUGUGAAAUCCCCGGGCUCAACCUGGGAACUGCGUUUGAAACUGGGAGGCUAGAGUGCGGCAGAGGGGGGUGGAAUUCCACGUGUAGCAGUGAAAUGCGUAGAUAUGUGGAGGAACACCGAUGGCGAAGGCAGCCCCCUGGGCCAGCACUGACGCUCAUGCACGAAAGCGUGGGGAGCAAACAGGAUUAGAUACCCCCGUAGUCC